CACCGUCGCCGGAUCUGGCGAGGGCUCGCCUCGCCCGGCGCGCGAGGCGAGCCCUCGCCAAAUCCGGCGAGGAGG
rnacentral:pre_miRNA from 1 species